ensembl:lncRNA
CAGAAGUAGUCUGCUCUCCAAGAGGCAGGAUCAGGCUGCCAGGAAGAUCAUGAGGUUUCUACGCCGCUGCCGCCACAGAGUGAACGAAUCGAAAAGGGCCAAGGAACAUGAGAACCCUCAGAAGAGCCCCCUCACAAUGUGACAUCACUCUCCUCCUUUUCUUUCCCCCCUUUGUACCCAAGACAUUUUACAAGAGAAGAAAAUAAACAGUUCAGUGAAAACACUGGGAUUAUUAUUACAACUAUGACAGCGUGACUGAUUCCACUUCGAUUACAUGUACAACAACAACAGCAUUUUUCACGUUUAUCUAUCGUUGUGUAUGUUGGAGAGUGGCAACUUCUUCUGUAGAAUUCUAAACUAAAGGAGAAGAAGCUGUGGGGGGCAGAACAUUAGCUUCAUGACAUUUUUUGCACUUUUUCAUGGAUUGCUUUGUCUUUUUGGGAGUAUCGGAGUCUAGGUUUUUAGAUGGUAAAGGAAGAGGAAUGUUGGACAUGUGGAAAAGGUCCCUGCCACCAGUGGAUCAAACCAAAAGGAUAAGAUGGAGGACAGCGAGGAUGGAGGACAGACGCCAACCAGAACAUAAGGAAACAUUACAGAAACACAUUGGGACUUGGCUCUAAUUGUAUUUCAUCAUUUUUUUAAAAAAGUGAACUGAUUCAUCCAUUUGAAGGAGAAAACAUGUCAUCUAAUGAACCAAACAUUCUCGGUAAUAUAAUUGAUCCAUUUGCAAACGUACUCUCCCUAUCAACAGUCGGUGAAUACAUUCAGUAUCGUAACUGGAAAUAGAUCAAGCGUCCUUCUGUUACGCUGUGCUCUACUCCGCCAGUCAGUCCGAAGGGGUGGGGCUGCAUCUGAAUGUAGGAGGGGUGUGAGAAGGAAUGGGCGGGGCUUAUUAAAAUAAUGGCUUAUUUUGUUAUCUACGUUUAGGGGGCACUGUGAGGCAAGAGAUAAAGGGAUUCAAUGGUGUGUGUGUUUUUUUUAAUAUAUAUGUUUAAUUCCUCUUUGCUUGAAUCUGUUCCGUGCUUACCCAUUACCGGGAUAACUGACUUGUCUCCUAAAAAAUGAUGUGUU